UGGGGAAUAUUGGACAAUGGGCGAAAGCCUGAUCCAGCCAUGCCGCGUGUGUGAAGAAGGUCUUCGGAUUGUAAAGCACUUUAAGUUGGGAGGAAGGGCAGUAAGCGAAUACCUUGCUGUUUUGACGUUACCGACAGAAUAAGCACCGGCUAACUCUGUGCCAGCAGCCGCGGUAAUACAGAGGGUGCAAGCGUUAAUCGGAAUUACUGGGCGUAAAGCGCGCGUAGGUGGUUCGUUAAGUUGAAUGUGAAAGCCCCGGGCUCAACCUGAGAACUGCAUCCAAGACUGGCGAGCUAGAGUAGGGCAGAGGGUGGUGGAAUUUACUGUGUAGCGGUGAGGUGCGUAGAUAUAGGAAGGAACACCAGUGGCGAAGGCGACCACCUUGGCUCAUACUGACACUGAGGUGCGAAAGCGUGGGGAGCAAACAGG
rnacentral:rRNA from 1 species